AAAGUCGUAACAAGGUUUCCGUAGGUGAACCUGCGGAAGGAUCAUUAACGAGUUUCGGGUCUCUCACGGCCCGGCCUCCCAACCCUGUGUGUACAGUACCUCUGUUGCUUCGGCGGGCCCGCCUCACGGCCGCCGGAGGACCCGUCUCGCGACGGCCCUCUGGCCCGCGCCCGCCGACAGCCUCCCACAUUAAACUGCUGAGUUGAAUCGUGUUCUUGUCUAAGUAUCAGAUUAAAUUAUUAAGCAAAACUUUCAACAACGGAUCUCUUGGUUCUG
rnacentral:misc_RNA from 1 species